AUAUACCUGCUGAACCUGUUAUUCAAUGUGACAAAGAAUGUGUUUUAACCUGUUGUACUUCUAUAAAAAUGAAAGUGAAAUUCUGAAACUUUACAACCUUUUAAAAGUGCAUCAAGCUCAACAUCAAGAAACAGCAAGGACUGUUGACUAAAGCUGUUUCUCUAUGAAGAACGAGUGCCAUGGAUCCUCCUCUUACACUAACAGAGGGAGACACUUUAUCUGGACACAAUGUAACCCAGAUAAGGAGACCAGAUUCACCAUUACCCAGCUGUGUCUCCAUGAAGAGUGAUAUGUCUAUGGAUCCUCCUCUUGUAUUUAAAGAUGAUAAGCCUUCACCUGG